CUGAGCCACCCAGGAGCCCCUAUGCUCGGCUCCCUACGCUGGAAUUUCUGUCUGCACUCCUUCAUCGCUGAUCUAGUCAUUUUCGCCCCUACUGCUUCCCAGUAAC